GGUUAACUCUAGCUCAGUUGGUUAGAGCAUGGUGCUUGUAAUGCUAAGGUUGUGGGUUCAAUCCCCAUGUGGGCCA